AUUAUUAUUUUGCCGGCGCUUUAGUUUCCUCCGCUACUGUACUCACAAGGAGUAACCGAACAAAACGGUACUCUAAAAAGCAAACGACAAGAACAAAAGGGAAAAUGCGCGCGGUCUUUUGUUUCUUUUGCAUUUCUCGCCACUUGCAUUUUGAUUUUCAAUUGAAAUAGCUGGUGCCUCUGUGAUUUGUGAUUUGCGGUUUUAAUUUUCAAAAAAACUAUUUCAAAACAAAAGGGUGGACUUACAUCUACAUACAAGUUGUGUUUUUUAGGGUGGACCUAAGAACACAAAUGAAGUGAACAAAAAUGUACUAGAGACAGGGAAGGUUUUGCGUCCUACAUUCAUUUAAAUGAAACAUUAUUCGAGUCACAAAGGAGGGACGGCCACCGCUUCACCGACCACAUAAAAGACCUUUGACUGGCCUUCACUAGGGCUAAGAACAAAACUUACAAGGCUAAAAGUAUAACAGAAAGGAUGAGAGAAGAAAAAAACGAC